UCCAUGAGCCACUAUGAGGCUGAGCCUGGGGCACUGCUCUGGACUUCUUCCCCCUGGAGGACUUCUGAGGCAAUUCUCUCUGCUUCUUUGAAACAACCCUGAGUCUCUCCACUCUCAGGAGGGGGAGCCUCAUGAGAUAAGAAGGGCAUUGACAGGGCAGGAGGCAAGAGGCUUCAGGCCCAUAGAGCAGGUGGAUGUGCAGAAAACUUUCAGAGAAUCCAGGGUUAGCAGUCGCUGCUUGGGGGAUGGGGUAGAAAUAGGUGCGAUGGGAAGGGGGAGAGAAGGUGUGAGGAGAGAGUGGGUGAGGCAGACAAUGGAGACUGUCAGGAGAGGCUUUUGUGACAGCGCUGAGCGUGGGACGGGCAUGUGGGUGAGGGUGGGGCUCAGAAACGGGUCUUCAGCGGGGGCUUGGCAACUGCAAAGUUGGGAAACCCAAUCAGAGCCCCCAGGUCUCAGCCAACUUCUGAUCAACUUUGAACAGCAGAGAGACUCCAGCCUAAAAAGAGAUGAGAACACUGAGGUUCAGAGAGGCUGUGUGACUGGCCUGAGGUUGCAGCAUAAGUGACGGAACCUGGGGAGGACUGCCAUAGAGGCAGAGCAGGCUGUAGAAACUUUCUUCCCACGCUGCCUGCCAGCCCCCAUGUCUGUGAGUUCUAGAAGUAGCCCAGCUGGGUCUUCUCAACACAACACAAGUGACCAAAGGUCGUGAGCCUGUCAGUGUGGAAGGCGACUCCAACAGAAACAGGCCACUCCAGAACAGAGAAAGGAGACAGCCAGACGGGUUACCCAGCACAGCUCGUGGACGCAUUAGGACCCUACAUGAGAAAGCGCUGUAUCUUCAGGAAAAGAAGAACUCCUUGCAGCCCUGGUCUGUUCAUUUGCUCAUUCAUUCAUUCAUUCAUUCAUUCAACAAAAAUUGAUUAAACAUCAACCAUGUCCUAUAAUCAAUGCAAG